rnacentral:rRNA from 1 species
ACGUGCUAAUCUGCGAAAAGCGUCGGUAAGGUGAUAUGAACCGUUAUAACCGGCGAUGUCCGAAUGGGGAAACCCAGUGUGAUUCGUCACACUAUCGUUGACUGAAUACAUAGGUUAACGAGGCGAACCGGGGGAACUGAAACAUCUAAGUACCCCGAGGGAAAGAAAUCAACCGAGAUUCCCCCAGUAGCGGCGAGCGAACGGGGAGCAGCCCAUAGUCUGAAUCAGCUUGUGUGUUAGUGGAACGGUCUGGAAAGUCCGACGGUACAGAGUGAUAGUCCCGUACACCAAAAUGCACAGGCUGUGAACUCGAAGAGUAGGGCGGGACACGUGGUAUCCUGUCUGAAUAUGGGGGGACCAUCCUCCAAGG